GGGGGCCCGCACAAGCGGUGGAGUAUGUGGUUUAAUUCGAUGCAACGCGAAGAACUUACCUGGUCUUGACAUCCCGGAGACCCUUAGGAAACUAGGGGGUGCUUCCAUCUGGAAGAAUCUGGAGACAGGUGCUGCAUGGCUGUCGUCAGCUCGUGUCGUGAGAUGUUGGGUUAAGUCCCGCAACGAGCGCAACCCUUGCCUUUAGUUGCCAGCAGUUCGGCUGGGCACUCUAAAGGGACUGCCGGUGUUAAACCGGAGGAAGGUGGGGAUGACGUCAAGUCCUCAUGGCCUUUAUGACCAGGGCUACACACGUACUACAAUGGCCGAUACAAAGGGCAGCGACACUGCGAGGUGAAGCCAAUCCCGUAAAAUCGGUCUCAGUCCGGAUUGGAGUCUGCAACUCGACUCCAUGAAGUUGGAAUCGCUAGUAAUCGUGGAUCAGCAUGCCACGGUGAAUACGUUCCCGGGCCUU
rnacentral:rRNA from 1 species